rnacentral:rRNA from 1 species
UACAGAGGUCCCGAGCGUUGUUCGGAUUCACUGGGCGUAAAGGGUGCGCAGGUGGCUUGGCAAGUUUGAUGUGAAAGCUCAGGGCUUAACCCUGAAAUGGCAUUGAAUACUGUUGAGCUGGAGGUUUGGAGGGGGGACUGGAAUUCUUGGUGUAGCAGUGAAAUGCGUAGAUAUCAGGAGGAACACCGAUGGCGAAGGCAGGUCUCUGGGCCGAUACUGACGCUGAGGAGCGAAAGCGUGGGGAGCGAACAGG